UACGUAGGGUGCAAGCGUUAAUCGGAAUUACUGGGCGUAAAGCGUGCGCAGGCGGUUAUGUAAGACAGAUGUGAAAUGCCCGGGCUUAACCUGGGAACUGCAUUUGUGACUGCAUGGCUAGAGUUUGGCAGAGGGGGGGGUAGAAUUCCACGUGUAGCAGUGAAAUGCGUAGAUAUGUGGAGGAACACCGAUGGCGAAGGCAGCCCCCUGGGUCAAGACUGACGCUCAUGCACGAAAGCUAGGGGAGCAAACAGG
rnacentral:rRNA from 1 species